AGUUACGUAGCUACCCGAGUAGCAGUUACAGCUGAUUUGUUUAUUUUACGUUGUAGACGAAAAUAUGUGUUUGUGUGAUUAUGGCUGCAUCGUAGCUAUGCAAAGACUAAAUGUUUCAUCGUAGUCUGCGAUACGAUUUAACCACAGAGUUAACAGAAAUCGAGCUUCCCUCUAGUGGUCAAGGUUUACUUUGGAAUGAGAGACCAUGGGCCGGCUGGAUGAAGCUGCCAAGAAAAAAGUGGUGGAGCUGCGCAAAGCUGGUCUAAGUUUCCGUAAGAUCAAAGCUGUGCUGGAGCUGGAGAACAUCAAGGUGUCAGCUCAGGCCAUUUACCUGUUCCUGCGGGAGUUCCAGGGGAGACCGCCAGGGAGAGUCCGACCGGUGGAGGCUGGAAGCAUCACACCACCAACACAAGUGCAGGUUCGAACCGGUGGUAUACAAGAGAGCUGGAAUAAUAUUCAUUUACAAAACCUACUUCAGGAGGCAGCUCACCAUGCUAACUUUGCAGCAGCAGCAGCAGCCAAGCAGGUUUCCACAAAUUCAGACACAAAUGCAAAUUCAUCCAGUUGUUUGGAGACAAGUGGAGGCAGCAGGGCGGAGCGGGAAAAGCAGGGAAAUAAGGAAGAAAACAGCAUUCGGAUUGUCAGCGUCACAUCCCUUGCACAGCAUAACCAACAGAGAGCUCCCCAGUCCACUGUAACAAGGACAGAGACAAGUGCUGUGUCCUCCCCACUGACAGCUUCUGGAGCUUUAAUGCGAAAGAAAAUUGCACCUUUUCCAGCCUCCAGUAUAAUGCUGGCAGCUCGAAAGAGACUUUUGGAUAAAGCUUUAUCACACAGAUUGAAGUCAUUACACCCGAUGACAUUGUUGAGGAGAGAUCCAUCCACUGUCCAAAGUGCUGAUUUGAGGAGCGCUAUCCCACAGCCUCAAGAAACCUAUGAUCUGACCACUGACAAGACUGUUAUGGAAAGUCAGCCUGGAAGUUCCAACACUCCCAGACGGGUCCUUACUCAGAGACCAGGACUAUCUCUCCGUACUGUUCACCCUUCUCUUCGUGUUGGGAUUCGUCCUCUUAAUCGGCCUCCAGCACCACAAACAUCCUCAGCACCUGGGGCUACUGUCAUUCGUCUACAGAACCCUGGAGGCCAGGGGCCCUCCCGUAGUGAUGGCAAUCCGAGCCCGCAGCAGGGAGUCCAGGACUCUGGAGGACGAGGUGGUUUGCAGGAUCAGAUUCAGACCCUGGGCUCUGAGGUGCGCGGGUUGGGCCUGGCAGUGAAGAUGCUGGUGGAGCAGCAGUGCCGUUUGGAGAGGGAACAGGCACAGCAGACACAGAUUCAGAAGCAGAUUCUGAGCACUCUACAGACCCUUGCCUCCAAAAUGGUAAAUUGUAGCCGUGUUCCACAGCACCAUAACAAAACUCCAUCACCCUCUGCUUUACCAGCAGCUUCUGCCUCUACCUCCUUUGGCCAAGAUACCUUCAGUUUCAGUCAAGGCACGUACACUCAGUGCAGCCAAGCACAGCCCAGCUACAACUCUUUAGAAAGUUUAGAAAAUAUAGAAACCUUUAAACUGCCAGGGCUGAGCCCUACAAGCAUUAAUGGAUUUUCACAAUGUAGCAGUUCUGAGAGCCUUCCUCUCACUCACACUCCCCCUCAAACACAAUCAUACGCAGCUGCAUAUCCACAGCAGCAAACCGGUCAAACGCUCAUCCCACCCUACACACAGUCCUAUGUCCCCACAUACAGCCAGUCACAUCCUCAGACUUUCCGAGCACCUGAGAGUAAAACAUCUGAUUUCCCAAGCAGCUGUUCAGCAGGAAACUUCCAGGACUGCAGUGUGUCCAGUCAGGCAGGGAUGAACUCCAACCGCUCAUCACAGGAUCAACCGAUCAAUUCUAUUAAAGUGGAAGGACCCUAGGAGACUGCAGAUUUCACAGUGUUUGGGGACCUUAAGGGCUUAAAACAAGUUUGUGCUAUUGUUAUUUAACAAACAUUUUCAUAAAUAGCAAAUAUUGUAGCUUUUUUUAUUUAUUUCCAAAGUUAAUUUUCGAAUGAAACAAACAUCAAUAUGUUAUAUUAAUAUAAUAUAAUUAGUAAUGUUGCAUUGAUUUGUCUGCAUCGUAGGCAACAUUUGAUUUUGUAUUGAUUAUUCUUGUAUAUUUAGGACUGUUGAUACUUCUAUGAUAACCAAUUAAAAAAAAA
ensembl:lncRNA uncharacterized LOC114440501